rnacentral:rRNA from 1 species
GAUGAACGCUGGCGGCGUGCUUAACACAUGCAAGUCGAACGGUGAACGAGGGAGCUUGCUCCCUCCGGAUCAGUGGCGAACGGGUGAGUAACACGUGAGCAAUCUGCCCCGAACUCUGGGAUAAGCGCUGGAAACGGCGUCUAAUACCGGAUACGACGCGCGAAGGCAUCUUCUGCGCGUGGAAAGAAUUUCGGUUCGGGAUGAGCUCGCGGCCUAUCAGCUAGUUGGUGAGGUAACGGCUCACCAAGGCGACGACGGGUAGCCGGCCUGAGAGGGUGACCGGCCACACUGGGACUGAGACACGGCACAGACUCCUACGGGAGGCAGCAGUGGGGAAUAUUGCACAAUGGGCGCAAGCCUGAUGCAGCAACGCCGCGUGAGGGACGACGGCCUUCGGGUUGUAAACCUCUUUUAGUAGGGAAGAAGCGAAAGUGACGGUACCUGCAGAAAAAGCACCGGCUAACUACGUGCCAGCCGCCGCGGUAAAAC